rfam:Desulfosporosinus sp. OT TOT.assembly.47, whole genome shotgun sequence.
AACGACAAAGGCAAACUUGGUGUAAACCAAGGACGCAAAGCCACGGGUCUUCCUUAAGCUGAAGAUAGCCGGGUUACCGUAA